rnacentral:rRNA from 1 species
GUGAGGAAUAUUGGACAAUGGGCGCAAGCCUGAUCCAGCCAUGCCGCGUGCAGGAAGACGCAUCUAUGGUGUGUAUACUGCUUUUGUACGGGAAGAAACACUCCCUCGUGAGGGAGCUUGACGGUACCGUAAGAAUAAGGAUCGGCUAACUCCGUGCCAGCAGCCGCGGUAAUACGGAGGAUCCAAGCGUUAUCCGGAAUCAUUGGGUUUAAAGGGUCCGUAGGCGGUUUAAUAAGUCAGUGGUGAAAGCCCAUCGCUCAACGAUGGAACGGCCAUUGAUACUGUUAGACUUGAAUUACAAGGAAGUAACUAGAAUAUGUAGUGUAGCGGUGAAAUGCUUAGAUAUUACAUGGAAUACCAAUUGCGAAGGCAGGUUACUACUUGUGGAUUGACGCUGAUGGACGAAAGCGUGGGGAGCGAACAGGAUUAGAAACCCGGGUAGUCC